AGUACUGCCCAAAAAGCUCCCAGCUUUAAAUGGGCUCCCUGCACUACUAAAUUAUUGUAAAUACAUAAUUGUAUAAAGGGAUAAUAAAAUGUUUCAAAUGUUUCAAAUGUUUCCCUUGCAGAACAAUGCCUCGUCGUUGUCGCAACGCCCUCACAUCGGAGGAGGAUAAUUGAGAAAUACGAGGCGAACGAAGGUCUAAUCUGCAGUUAUGUCAAACUAUUUUGCGUGAAUGACAAACUUUAUUGCUACGUUGGUAUAAGUUCGGGACUCUGUGAUAUUAAUGGUGACCACUUUUUCUAUUCCUUAUAUCUGUCAAACCAUAAUGCAAAAUACUGUAGUAUGUGAUGUCAAAAAUCGCUACUUUCAUUAAUGUUGGUUGUCCGCCAACACGAAUUCCAUGAGUUCAAGAUAUUUCGAAUGAAACACUGAUACGCGUUCCGUUAUCAUAUUCUGAAUCAUACGUACACGUGACGUCAAAAAAACGACGUCAGUGCUACCAUCCCCGUUGACACAAACAUACGUAGUAUGUGGAAACGAACUUUUGGAGCCGAGUGUACGUUUAAUGUAUACGUUUUUCACUGUUGUGGGCAAUAAAAUAUCUGAAUCUGAAUAUGUGUGUGUGUGUGUGUGUGUGUGUGUGUAAUCACUAACUCGCAACAGUGAAUGGGUUGGAAAUACGGAAAGCCGAAUAGGGUCGAAGUAACGAAGUGUGUGUGAGAGAGAGAGAGAGAGAGAGAGAGAGAGAGAGGUCCAGGCGGCGGAUGCUCAAACGGUUGUAUCUCAACAUUUGGUCCUAAAUCCGCCAUUGUGGUUGCAAGUGCUGCCCCGUGCGAUGUUCAAAAAACGUCCUAGACGCCAUCUUGUGACGUCAGGUCGCCCCUCAGCCUGACUGCUCGGGAGCGGGGCUAGAUCCGACCAGUUUCCGUCCUAACCCGUCGCCAUUAAAGGAGUGUUUCCGCCUCAUCCACAUCUCCACCUCUAUACACAAUAUAAGAUGGAGCUUGUUGCGGCAUACAUUUUCAAUCGCAGACUGUGCAGGGAAAGGAGAUAUCGGGACCCACUCGACCCACUACAUGUCAGUGAUGAACACCUGUUGCAGGUGUAUAGAUUUCCCCGUCAGGAAAUCAUCAGGCUCUGUGAUGAGUUGCACCCCCACCUGGAAAGGAGAACCAGGAGGGCACAUGCACUCCCAACACACACCCAGGUUCUGGCUACACUAAGGUUUUUGCGAGUGGCAGCUUUCAAGGUGUUAUUGGAAACGGUGUUGGAAAUGACCAAUCAAGGGCCAUUGAUAAAGUAACUCGGGUACUUUGUGAAAAGGCCAGUCAUGAGAUAAAGAUGUCAACCACAGCAAUAGAUAUUAAUAGAAUUUUUAAGAUAGUUUUCAUGCAUUUCAUAAUGAUAAAUAAUGCAUUAAUGAAUUUUCAACUUCACAGGAGACACUGCGUAUCCUCUGGAGCCAUUCCUGAUGACCCUAGUUGCACGCCCGACAACACCUGGGGAGGAGCGCUACAACAAGUCAUCACAGGACAAGAUGCGUUGUCGAACGGACCUUUGGGAUCCUCAAGUCAAGGUGCAGGUGCCUACAUAAGUCAGGAGGAAGUUUGCAGUAUGACCCCAAGAAGACUAUGACGCUGAGAGUUUUCAACCAUUGACAAGUGACGGAGGGUUACCAACAUGCUGCCCAGCAGAUCUUCAGUCAACCCUAACUUCAGCAUCUUUGAUCAAGAGGGGCACCACCUCCACACCACUCAUUCUUAUCACCUAGUUUGAUUGAUACCCUACUUGUCCAUCUCACAUGCCCCAUGUAUCUCAGCAUUCUGCACUCUUGGCUCCAUGUCAUCCUCUCCAACUUGUUGGUUCGUAUAGCAUAACCGGCCUCACAUACAUAGAAGUGUUCAAUAUACCUAGGCUAUAAUAUUAUAUUUAAGGACUCUUAUACGAGGUAUCGCCCCAUACAGAGGUGUCGAAGUAAGUCUGUCUGAUCACUCUGAUGGUAGGUUGGCUGACUGCUGUUGGGACCCAAGCCAGCAUGCCCUGGGGGUUGUGUGCGGGAGGAGGAAAGAGGGAAAAGGACAAAUGGUGUGUGUGUCAUUAUCAGGGGUAACCACGGUGGAGUGCAAACACUCAGUAGUUGUAGUCAAGGCUUAAUUAAGUUGAUGAGUGGUGUUAGACUGAAUGAGCAGGUUUUUUACCACAUGUUAGUGGGAACACUUGAUAGGUUUUGUUUGUGUGUUGGUGCUACUUGUUUCUUGUGUUUGCAUGUUAGUUUAUAAUUAGACUGAGUUCUAAGUGUUAUGAGCGACAAUUUAGUCUUGUAUGGCUGAAUCCUGUCCCUUGACCCUUAAUUCAUCAUCAGAAUCUUUAAACAAAUAUAUUUACCUUAAGUAAUAUUCUUAAAGUCACGCUACCCAUAUUAUUUGGCAGAUGAUAACCCUGUGUGCGAUAACGGUGCCUUAUAAGACUUGGUAAAUAAACUACUAAUUUUACUCUCUGAUUUAAGUGAUCAACAAUUAAUUCUACUUUGAGGUAUAAUUAACCAACAUUAUUAAGGAGUGCCCAUGCCAGGCACGACAUUAAGAAUAUUUUUCUGUUGACCAGCAGACUUACUAAAGUCAAACCAUUUCUGCAGGUCCUUUCCUCCCUUCUGCUUUGCCACACAGUUCCAAUUACCUAUUUCCUCUGUUUCCUGUCCCGUCUUUCACAAACUGGGCACCUGUAAUGCACCACUACUUGAUUUACAUUUCUCAGCCCUGAGCAUCUCUUUGUGGCACCACUUAUCACUCCCCGUGCACAGAGCAGAGUUAGUAGCCAUUUCUCUUCCACACCAACUACCUUCCUGUAUAUAUGAUUUCUCAGUAAUUACUUAUUUGUUGUGCUGUAUUAGCUGUUAGUUCUACAUCAAGCUGUAAUAUCUACCCAAGCUGCAGGUUAAUCCAAUAAAAAAAAUAAAAAAAGUGAAUGACUAAGUCAUGUGUUAUUAUUCCCAAGCUCCAUUGGCAAUGGCGAGUACACAUUAUAUAACUGAAGCAUAUUACACAUUCAUUGAACACAAUUAAAACUUAACUACCCUAAUCAAAUUAAAUCUAACCUAACCUGAUCUGACCUAAUUAAACUAAAUAUAAGGUAACCUGGCCUUAAUGCCUGCUCCCAAAAUUAAAUAAAUGGAAAUAAAUAUGAUAUUGUUACGCCAAGGCUUAGCUUAGUUUAAAUUGUAAUUGGCGCCACGUGACGUAAUGAGGGUUCCCUGCGGCCCCGUUGAGGGGGCGGGCUGGAGAGGGACGCCAUGCGGCGAGGAAGAGUGGAGACGGAGAGAAGACAAAGGACGCGCUCGCCUGUGCUCUGUGCCUUAGGACUUAAUCGCCUGUGAUUUGUGCCUUGACUGCCUCCCCCUUGGACUUAUAAGGAUUGUACAACGUUCUAUUGCUUAGUAAACCCCAAGAAAGUC